UACGAAGGGGGCUAGCGUUGCUCGGAAUCACUGGGCGUAAAGCGCACGUAGGCGGAUUGUUAAGUCAGGGGUGAAAUCCUGGAGCUCAACUCCAGAACUGCCUUUGAUACUGGCGAUCUCGAGUCCGGGAGAGGUGAGUGGAACUGCGAGUGUAGAGGUGAAAUUCGUAGAUAUUCGCAAGAACACCAGUGGCGAAGGCGGCUCACUGGCCCGGUACUGACGCUGAGGUGCGAAAGCGUGGGGAUCAAACAGG
rnacentral:rRNA from 1 species